UUUAAAUUAGUUUUUAAAUUGGUUAUAGUAAAACAAUCCAUAUAUGUACAAUAAGCUUUAUUCUUUGGAUUCCCUUAAAAAUUGCAGCAGCUCUGUUUGGAAGAUGGUUUGGCCAAAACCAAAAAGGAUGACACUUCGUUUCUGGAAGAGAUCGCUAGAGACCGACAGAGAGCACGACAUGAGGAAGGAGAAGAUGGUACAGGACUUAAUCAGCACCCAAACGAAAUUCCAGAACGAUCGUAUCCGUUCUGCUGACUGUUUAAAGUCAGCAGCACUGUUGCUGCUAUCGGGCUGUUCGCAAUGCUAAUAUGGUGUAAGCUCCCAAUUUUCCUUAAUCGCGCUGUUGUGCAUACAUAAUAUAUUGUGUAAAAUACAACAGCACAAUAUUAUGGCGCUAUUGUCAAGAACUAUUAAGAAUUUUUCUUCAUCAUCCAUUAUAAGAAAUUAAUAAAUCUUUCGCACAAAUUGAAUGUACUUGUCAGAUGUUUUUGACGGAUGGUGGAUGGUGCCAGUGUGAAUCGGAGUUUAACAUCUGUCAAAAAAUCGCACCGAUCCCCGCGGGAUGGGCUCAGUGUGCAGAGCAUAUUAGGGCCGCAUUUGAAAACCAUCGGCUAACUAUCGCAUAGAAACGUGUGGUUUAGGAACAUCCUAGUUGGAUAGUGGAAUAACUGGGAGAUUUUCGGACCUGCAAAACUUUACGGACCAUCCCCGAAAUGGAUAAUGGAUGGUGGAUGGUCAUCUGUGUCAGUAGCCUAUUAGCUGCGAGUGAUUUCAUGGGCCACUUCAGUUCUAGGAGUUCUGGGCUCUGGCCAACAGCUUUCACAUUCUGCUCCCUUCGGGUGGAGCCCCUGUCAUGAGGUAGCGCAUUUGAAUGUAUGCGUAUUAACCCACAGUAUUAACCCGUAUUAUUCUCACAAAUGCGACCAAGACGAUCUAAUCUUU
rnacentral:sRNA from 15 species